UACGUAGGCAGCAAGCGUUGUUCGGAAUUACUGGGCGUAAAGGGUGCGUAGGCGGCUUUCUAAGUUGGAUGUGAAAACUAUGGGCUCAACCCAUAGCCUGCAUCCAAAACUGGAGAGCUUGGGUUCUGGAGGGGAAAGCGGAAUUCCUGGUGUAGCGGUGAAAUGCGUAGAUAUCAGGAGGAACACCGGUGGCGAAGGCGGCUUUCUGGACAGAUACCGACGCUGAGGCACGAAAGCUAGGGGAGCAAACAGG
rnacentral:rRNA from 1 species